UGAAUUGAAACCCUGCAAGUUCUUCAUUUCUGAUCUGAGUCUUGGAAGUUUCCAAGUGCCAAGAAGAACUUUGUAUUUGGCAGAAACACAAUGCCAACAUCUACAGAUCAGAAUGACAUUUUUACUGAGUUUGAUCAACAGAAUCAUGAAUUCACUGAUCCCACUUCCUUUCUGUCCAAUCCAAACCCUCCUCCUUGUGAUGAUUAUUCAUGCCGGUCUUUCGGUGUCAGUGUGACCUCAGAGGCCUCCAGAGCUACUCUCCAACAUAUAAGAGAGAUGCUUAUGGAGGAAGAGCUGGAGAACAGACCCUGCAUGCUUCAGGACUUUUUGGCCCUCCAAGCUGCUGAGAAAUCCUUGGAAGAUGUCCUAAUUCAGCAGUAUUCUCCUCCGACGAAUCCCCUUCUUGCUUCUUCUAUUGAGCCAAGUGCUGAAAACUCUUAUGAUUUCAUUAACCACAGCAGUAAUAGCUCCAGUGCUGCUAGGAGCUGGGAUGAUGGCUCAGGUUGGAUUUCCUUUCAAAAAGAUCAUAAUGACUCAACAAAAGGAUCAAGGAGCAAAAAAGAUCGUCACAGCUGGGAGAAUGGCGUUAUCUAGAAGAAGGGAGGAUCAAUAAGCAGUCGGCAGUGUACGCUGAUGGAUAUGAACCACCAGAUAUGUUGGAUAAGGUACUGCUCUUUCAUUAUCAAAACCCAAACUCUGAAUCAUGUUCUUCUCUUCAGCUUAAAGGGGGAAAGGGAGGAUCCAAUGGCAAAAGAACAGUUAGGAAGAAAAAGGAUGACAACAGAGAGGUAGUGGAUUUUCAGUCACUGCUAACUCAAUGUGCAAAGUCUGUUGCAAGCUAUGACAGAAGGACUGCCAAUGAACUACUCAAACAGAUAAGGCAGCACUCAUCUCCCUACGGUGAUGGAAACCAAAGAGUAGCUUAUUACUUAGCCAACGGCCUUGAAGAACGUUUGGCAGCUGCGGUUCCUUCGUUCAAUCCUCUUUGCCUUGAUAAGAUGUCAGCUGCUGUUGUCUUAAAAGCUUACCAGACAUAUAUCAAAGCAUGCCCCUUCAAGUUGAUGUCAAACAUCUAUACUAACAAAACUAUCUUCAAUCUAGCAGAGAAAGCAACCAGGCUUCAUAUAAUUGAUUUUGGAAUUCUUUAUGGCUACCAAUGGCCUGGCCUCAUCCAAAGUCUUGCAGAAAGACCCUCAGGACCUCCGAUGCUUCGCAUUACUGGUAUUGAAUUUCCCCAAUCAGGAUUUCGACCUUCAGAGAGUCUUGAAGAAACUGGGCACCGCCUAGCGAAAUACUGCAAGAGAUUCAACGUCCCAUUUGAGUACAACUUCAUAGCGCAGGAUUGGGAAACAAUUCGACAUCAAGACAUCAAACUUGACAGAGAUGAGUUGACAGUAGUGAACUGCUUGUGCAGGUUAAGGAACUUACCUGAAGAAACAGAGAUGAAUAGUCCAAGGGAUAAAGUCUUGAAGCUGAUCAGGAGAAUCAACCCACAUGUUUAUAUACAUGGACUGGUUAAUGGUUAACUAUAAUACACCCUUCUUCACCAUACGGUUCCAGGAAGCACUCUACCAUUUCUCUUCCAUGUUUGAUAUCUUUGACGAGACUUUGCCCAGAGAAGAUCAACAGAGGCUGCUCUACGAACAAGAGAUAUUAUCAAUGUGAUAGCAUGUGAGGGUUCCAGGAGGCUUGAAAGGCCUGAAACAUACAAGCAGUGGCAGAUUAGAAACACCAGAGCUGGGUUCAAGCAGUUACCAUCGAACCAGGAGAUCCUCACGGAAGUUAAGAAUAUGGUCAAGUUAGAAUACCAUGAGGACUUUAUUGUCGAGGAAGAUGGCAAGUGGAUCGUGCAGGGAUGGAAAGGCCGAAUACUCCAUGCUUUUUCAUGCUGGAAACUUGCUUCAUAGGUUCAGAAGGCACUGCUCCUAGUCUAACAAGGAUUUCCAAUUG